GAUGAACGCUAGCGAUAGGCCUAACACAUGCAAGUCGAGGGGCAGCAUGAUUGUAGCAAUACAAUUGAUGGCGACCGGCGCACGGGUGAGUAACACGUAUGCAAUCUACCUACAACAGGGGAAUAACCCGGAGAAAUUCGGACUCAUACCGCAUAACACAGGGAUUCCGCAUGGAAAUAUUUGUUAAAGAUUUAUCGGUUGUAGAUGGGCAUGCGUUCCAUUAGCCGGUUGGUGAGGUAACGGCUCACUAAAGCAACGAUGGAUAGGGGAACUGUUAUGUCUAUCCCCACCACUGGAACGGCGACGCGGUCCAGACUCCUACGGGAUGCGGCAGUGAGGAAUAUUGGUCAAUGGUCGCGAGCCUGAGCCAGCCACAUCGCGUGAAGGACGAGUGCCCUAUGGGUUGUAAACUUCUUUUAGAAGGGAAUAAAAAGGGAAACGUGUGCCCCAGUGCAGGUACCAUACGAAUAAGCAUCGGCUAACUCCGUGCCAGCAGCCGCCGUAA
rnacentral:rRNA from 1 species